rnacentral:rRNA from 1 species
GAUGAACGCUAGCUACAGGCUUAACACAUGCAAGUCGAGGGACCGGCGCACGGGUGAGUAACACGUAUCCAACCUGCCCUUUACUCGGGGAUAGCCUUUCGAAAGAAAGAUUAAUACCCGAUAUAAAGGAUGGGGAUGCGUUCCAUUAGGUUUUUGGUGAGGUAACGGCUCACCAAGCCUUCGAUGGAUAGGGGUUCUGAGAGGAAGGCCCACCGCAUUGGAACUGAGACACAGUCCUAACUCCUACGGGAGGCAGCAGUGAGGAAUAUUGGUCAAUGUGCGGUGUCCUGAACCAGCCAAGUAGCGUGAAGGAUGAAGGCUUCUGGGUCGUAAACUUCUUUUAUAUAAGAAUAUGUAUUAUAUGAAUAAGGAUCGGCUAACUCCGUACCAGCAGCCGCGGUAAUUC